UCCCAUUUUUAUCCGCCUCUCGUUUCUGUGUCAGUGGGAUCAAGCACUUCGAUUUUAAGAUGAAAACCUCAAACCCCCUUCUCACAAAACCUCCCGUCUCUCACGCAGCUCACUCCUGUCGCUCAGGCAGCUCUCGAAGGUGUCACAUAAAAUGCUACACCACUGUUUUUAGACAAGAGAUAUGGUUGUGACUCAAGAGACACUGUGAGCUGGAAAGUCUCGGGGACUUCAUUGGGUGUAGCAUUCUGAGGAGAGAGAGAGAGAGAGAGAGAGAGAGAGAGAGAGAGAGAGAGAGAGAGAGAGAGAGAGAAGAACAGGCAAGCCCGACCAUAUUAUUUGCGAGCAGGAACAACUAACUAGUCCUUCUCCAACUUCAAAUUUCCGAUCUUAAAAACGAAACCCUUAAAACCUCAAAAUCCCAUAGAUUUAAUUCAGAAUGGCUGCGAAGUCGUUGAAGCUAUGUCGAGCUCUCUCCUGCAAUUUUUCUCUUUCACGUAUCUCGAUUUCAAGAUCUUCUCAUAUCCUCCAAAUAAGGUCUUCUGCAAAUGUCCCUCAACCCACUUCGGUUGAUCCCUCUCCGACAAAGAUUAGUGAAAGGAAUGAUGGGAAUGUGGGGAGAACUUCUGUUUCUUCAUCUUUGAACGAGGUGGAAUUGGCCAAGUUCUCCGCCAUUGCUGAAACCUGGUGGGACUCUGAAGGGCCAUUUAAACCGUUACAUGCUUUGAACCCAACAAGACUUUCCUUCAUUCGGUCCACUCUUUGCAGGCAUUUCAGGCUGAUGGAGUUGGUGUUUGAUUCAAUUGACUUUUUGCGGUGUGAAGCCAAAGAGGUUCUCUUCUAGUUAUCUCUCUCUUUUCUUCCAUACUCGAGGUGUUCCAGAUCUGAUCUACUGUUACAGCCUUACAGAAGGGAUCCGUAUUGUGCCAGGCCUUUUGAAGGCCUGAAAAUUGUGGAUGUUGGUUGUGGAGGUGGGAUUCUUUCAGAGG